GAUAACCGUGGGAAACCGAGAGCUAAUACAUGCUGCAGUGCCCAACUUACGAAGGGCCGUAUUUAUUAGAUACCAGCCAAUAGGCUUCUGCCUUUGUGGUGAAUCAUAGUAACUUAAUCGGAUCGCAUGGGCUUGUCCCGCGACAAACCAUUCAAGUUUCUGCCCCAUCAUGCUAGAUGGUAGUGUAUUGGACUACCAUGGCUUUCACGGGUAACGGAGGAUUAGGGUUCGAUUCCGGAGAGGGAGCCUGAGAAACGGCUACCACUUCUACGGGAGGCAGCAGGCGCGUAAAUUACCCAAUCCUAAUUCAGGGAGGUAGUGACAAGAAAUAAUGGGUCGGAAUUUUAUUCCGUCACCGCAAUGAAACGAAUUUAGACCCUUUGUUGAGGAUCAAUUGGAGGGCAAGUCUGGUGCCAGCAGCCGCGGUAAUUCCAGCUCCAAUAGCGUAUAUUAAAGUUGUUGCAGUUAAAAAGCUCGUAGUUGGAUUUCUGGUAGAACGCUAAGUCUAACCGAACGGUUCUGUACUAAGCUUCUGCCAUCCUUCUGUUAACCUAGUAGCCCUCAAAAGCUGUUAGGAGCUCAGAUAUUUUACCUUGAGAAAAUUAGAGUGUUUCANGCAGGCCAGUGCCCGGAUACAUUAGCAUGGAAUAAUAGAACAGGACUUUAAUCUCUUCUGUUGGUCUGGGGGGAUUGAAGUAAUGAUUAAUAGGGAUAGUUGGGGGCAUUAGUACUUAACUGUCAGAGUGAAAUUCUCGGAUUUGUUAAAGACUAACUUAUGCGAAAGCAUUUGCCAAGGAUGUUUUCAUUAAUCANNAACGAAGUUANGGGAUCAAGACGAUCAGAUACCGCCCUAGUCUUAACNAUAAACUAUGUC
rnacentral:rRNA from 1 species